UACGAAGGGGGCUAGCGUUGCUCGGAAUUACUGGGCGUAAAGGGAGCGUAGGCGGACAUUUUAAGUCAGGGGUGAAAUCCCAGAGCUCAACUCUGGAACUGCCUUUGAUACUGGGUGUCUUGAGUGUGAGAGAGGUAUGUGGAACUCCGAGUGUAGAGGUGAAAUUCGUAGAUAUUCGGAAGAACACCAGUGGCGAAGGCGCAC
rnacentral:rRNA from 1 species